CCAGCUCCAAGAGUGUAUAUUAAAGUUGUUGCAGUUAAAAAGCUCGUAGUUGGAUUUCGGAAGGUCCUUAGCAAUCCGCCCCUUCGGGGAGCGGGUUGCUGGCCUCCUAUGUUCCUAACGGCCCUCAUCCGCGAGGGUGGGGAAUCAACCGCUAGGAUCGUUUACUUUGAGGAAAUUAGAGUGUUCAAAGCAGGCGUAACUCGCCUCCGAAUACGUUAGCAUGGGAUAAUGGAAUACGACUUCGGUCUUGUUUCGUUGGUUUCGCUUGGCUGAAGUAAUGAUUGAUAGGGACAGUUGGGGGCAUUAGUAUUUAGUUGUCAGAGGUGAAAUUCUAGGAUUUACUAAAGACUGACCAAUGCGAAAGCAUUUGCCAAGGAUGUUUUCAUUAAUCAAGAACGAAAGUAGGGGGAUCGAAGACGAUCAGAUACCGUCGUAGUCUCUACCGUAAACUAUGCCGACCAGGGAUCCGGAGAGUUUGCAUGGAUGACUCCCCGGGCACCUUGUGAGAAAUCAUAAGUGUUUGGGUUUUGGGGGGAGUAUGGUCGCAAGGCUGAAACUUAAAGGAAUUGACGGAAGGGCACCACCAGGAGUGGAACCUGCGGCUUAAUUCGACUCAAC
rnacentral:rRNA from 1 species